ACUCCUACGGGAGGCAGCAGUGGGGAAUAUUGCACAAUGGGCGCAAGCCUGAUGCAGCCAUGCCGCGUGUAUGAAGAAGGCCUUCGGGUUGUAAAGUACUUUCAGCAGUGAGGAAGGUGGAGUCGUUAAUAGCGGCCUCAUUUGACGUUAGCUGCAGAAGAAGCACCGGCUAACUCCGUGCCAGCAGCCGCGGUAAUACGGAGGGUGCGAGCGUUAAUUGGAAUUACUGGGCGUAAAGCGCAUGCAGGUGGUUUGUUAAGUCAGAUGUGAAAGCCCGGGGCUCAACCUCGGAAUUGCAUUUGAAACUGGCAGACUAGAGUACUGUAGAGGGGGGUAGAAUUUCAGGUGUAGCGGUGAAAUGCGUAGAGAUCUGAAGGAAUACCGGUGGCGAAAGGCGGCCCCCUGGACAGAUACUGACACUCAGAUGCG
rnacentral:rRNA from 1 species